rnacentral:rRNA from 1 species
UACAGAGGGGGCAAGCGUUAUUCGGAAUUAUUGGGCGUAAAGGGCGCGUAGGCGGCCUGGCAAGUGGAAGGUGAAAUCCCUCGGCUUAACCGAGGAACUGCCUUCCAAACUGCUUGGCUUGAGUCCGGGAGAGGUGAGUGGAAUUCCCAGUGUAGCGGUGAAAUGCGUAGAUAUCAGGAAGAACACCCGUGGCGAAAGCGGCUCUCUGGAACGGUACUGACGCUGAGACGCGAAAGCGUGGGGAGCGAACAGG